GGGCUUGACAUCCCACGAACCUGCCCGAAAGGGUCGGGUGCCCGCAAGGGAGCGUGGAGACAGGUGGUGCAUGGCAGUCGUCAGCUCGUGUCGUGAGAUGUUGGGUUAAGUCCCGCAACGAGCGCAACCCUCACCCCUUGUUGCCACCGGGUAAAGCCGAGCACUCUAGGGGAACUGCUAGCGUUAAGCUGGAGGAAGGCGAGGAUGACGUCAAGUCAUCAUGCCCCUUACGCCCUGGGCUACACACGUGCUACAAUGGCCGGUACAAAGGGAUGCGAUACCGCGAGGUGGAGCUAAUCCCAAAAAACCGGACUAAGUUCAGAUUGCAGUCUGCAACUCGACUGCAUGAAGGAGGAAUCGCUAGUAAUCGCUCAUCAGCACGGCGCGGUGAAUACGUUCCCGGGCCUUGUACACACCGCCCGUCACACCACGAAAGCCGGCUGUACUCGAAGUCGCUGAG
rnacentral:rRNA from 1 species